rnacentral:rRNA from 1 species
ACUCUAAUGGGACUGCCGGUGACAAACCGGAGGAAGGUGGGGAUGACGUCAAGUCCUCAUGGCCCUUAUAGGUGGGGCUACACACGUCAUACAAUGGCCGGUACAGAGGGUAGCCAACCCGCGAGGGGAGCCAAUCCCACAAAGCCGGUCGUAGUCCGGAUCGCAGUCUGCAACUCGACUGCGUGAAGUCGGAAUCGCUAGUAAUCGCGGAUCAGCAUGUCGCGGUGAAUACGUUCCCGGGUCUU